rnacentral:rRNA from 1 species
UACGGAGGGUGCAAGCGUUAUCCGGAUUCACUGGGUUUAAAGGGUGCGUAGGUGGGCUAGUAAGUCCGUGGUGAAAUCUCUGAGCUUAACUCGGAAACUGCCAUUGAUACUAUCAGUCUUGAAUAUUGUGGAGGUCAGCGGAAUAUGUCAUGUAGCGGUGAAAUGCUUAGAUAUGACAUAGAACACCAAUUGCGAAGGCAGCUGGCUACACAUAUAUUGACACUGAGGCACGAAAGCGUGGGGAUCAAACAGG